AUUGAACGCUGGCGGCAUGCCUUACACAUGCGAGUCGAACGGUAACAGGUCUUCGGAUGCUGACGAGUGGCGAACGGGUGAGUAAUACAUCGGAACGUGCCCGAUCGUGGGGGAUAACGAAGCGAAAGCUUUGCUAAUACCGCAUACGAUCUACGGAUGAAAGCAGGGGACCGCAAGGCCUUGCGCGAACGGAGCGGCCGAUGGCAGAUUAGGUAGUUGGUGGGAUAAAAGCUUACCAAGCCGACGAUCUGUAGCUGGUCUGAGAGGACGACCAGCCACACUGGGACUGAGACACGGCCCAGACUCCUACGGGAGGCAGCAGUGGGGAAUUUUGGACAAUGGGCGAAAGCCUGAUCCAGCCAUGCCGCGUGCAGGAUGAAGGCCUUCGGGUUGUAAACUGCUUUUGUACGGAACGAAAAGACUCUGGUUAAUACCUGGGGUCCAUGACGGUACCGUAAGAAUAAGCACCGGCUAACUACGUG
rnacentral:rRNA from 1 species